rnacentral:rRNA from 1 species
GAGUUUGAUCAUGGCUCAGAUUGAACGCCCGCGGUAUGCUUAACACAUGCAAGUCGAACGGUAACAGCAGGAGCUUGCUCCUGGCUGACGAGUGGCGGACGGGUGCGUAACGCGUAGGAAUCUGCCUAUUAGUGGGGGACAACAUGGUGAAAACCAUGCUAAUACCGCAUACGCCCUACGGGGGAAAGCGGGGGAUCUUCGGACCUCGCGCUAAUAGAUGAGCCUGCGUUAGAUUAGCUAGUUGGUGGGGUAAAGGCUCACCAAGGCGACGAUCUAUAGCUGGUCUGAGAGGACGAUCAGCCACACUGGGACUGAGACACGGCCCAGACUCCUACGGGAGGCAGCAGUGGGGAAUAUUGGACAAUGGGCGAAAGCCUGAUCCAGCAAUGGCCGCGUGUGUGAAGAAGGCCUGCGGGUUGUAAAGCACUUUCAGUUGGGAAGAAAAGCUUAAAGUUAAUAACUUUAAGUCUUGACAUUAUCAACAGAAGAAGCACCGGCUAACUCUGUGCCAGCAGCCGCGGUAAUACAGAGGGUGCGAGCGUUAAUCGGAAUUACUGGGCGUAAAGAGUACGUAGGCGGUUAUAUCAGUCGGAUGUGAAAGCCCAAGGCUUAACCUUGGAAUUGCAUUCGAUACUAUAUAACUAGAGUACAGUAGAGGAAGGUGGAAUUCAUAGUGUAGCGGUGAAAUGCGUAGAUAUUGGGAAGAACACCAGUAGCGAAGGCGGCUACCUGGCUCGCAACUGACGCUAAGGCGCGAAAGCGUGGGGAGCGAACAGGAUUAGAUACCCUGGUAGUCCACGCUGUAAACGAUGGGCACUAGGUGUUGGUCGGCCAUAGGCUGAUCAGUGCCGUAGCAAACGCAUUAAGUGCCCCGCCUGGGGAGUACGAUCGCAAGGUUGAAACUCAAAGGAAUUGACGGGGGCCCGCACAAGCGGUGGAGCAUGUGGUUUAAUUCGAUGCAACGCGAAGAACCUUACCGGGGUUUGACAUGCCAAUGACACAGAUAGAGAUAUCUGUUUCCUUCGGGACGUUGGCACAGGUGCUGCAUGGCUGUCGUCAGCUCGUGUCGUGAGAUGUUGGGUUAAGUCCCGCAACGAGCGCAACCCUCGUCCUUAGUUGCUAGCAGUUCGGCUGAGCACUCUAAGGAGACUGCCUUCGUAAGGAGGAGGAAGGUGAGGACGACGUCAAGUCAUCAUGGCCCUUAUGGCUAGGGCUACACACGUGCUACAAUGGGGCGUACAGAGUGUUGCGAUACCGCGAGGUGGAGCUAAUCACUUAAAGCGUCUCUCAGUUCGGAUUGGAGUCUGCAACUCGACUCCAUGAAGCUGGAAUCACUAGUAAUCGUAGAUCAGCAAUGCUACGGUGAAUACGUUCCCGGGUCUUGUACUCACCGCCCGUCACACCAUGGGAGUUGAUUUCACCCGAAGCGGGGAAGCUAAACUGGCUACCCUCCACGGUGGGAUCAGCGACUGGGGUGAAGUCGUAACGAGGUAAC